rnacentral:rRNA from 1 species
UACAGAGGGGGCAAGCGUUAUUCGGAAUUAUUGGGCGUAAAGGGCGCGUAGGCGGCCUGGCAAGUGGAAGGUGAAAUCCCUCGGCUUAACCGAGGAACUGCCCUCCAAACUGCUUGGCUUGAGUCCGGGAGAGGUGAGUGGAAUUCCCAGUGUAGAGGUGAAAUUCGUAGAUAUUGGGAAGAACACCGGUGGCGAAGGCGGCUCUCUGGCUCGUAACUGACGCUCAGGCGCGACAGCGUGGGGAUCAAACAGG